AGAACAAGAGAGGGUGGGAAAAUAAGAAAGGAAAAUAGAACACUUUAGGGAAAGGGAAUAGUGUGUGCAAAGAUGAAGAAGUAUAAAAGAAAAUGUAGCUUAUUCCAGAAACUGCUAAAAGGAUCAAUAUGCUGUCGUGUCAUGAGAGAGCCACGAUUCUUCUAACAUAUUUAACUGCUGGAGAGAAUGGCUCAGAAUCCCAAGUAUCAGUUUCAGCACACAGAUAAAAUAUAAGAAAGAAUUUGAGGUUGAUGUCAGAAGCAUUUCCAACAGGGCUAAGGAAGUAUAUUUUUGGAAGAUCUUUUCUUGGCCCUUGACAGAAGAAGCAGAGUAACUUUUCUUAGGUGGCAUAAUUCUUCAAAAUGUGUUCAUUUUGAAGAACAGGGGUGAUGGAUGGUAAUACACAGGCAGGGAUCAACAGUCCCAGAACUGAAGGAAGAGUUGACAAAUGUAUCAAAGAUGCCUAAUCAAAAUGUGUCCACAUUCUGCUAAAUAAAUUCUGGUUGAGCAGAACUAACGAA
rnacentral:lncRNA from 1 species